GUGUCACUCAUGCCAAUAGAAUGAGAUGGAGUUCGACUCAGAAGCAUAGGAAAGCUUUAUUCUUCAAACAAUGAAGGGCGUGAGCUCUUGCUCUAGAGCACUAGCUCUCCUGAAAAGUCCUUGGCAACAGGCCAAAAGCAGGGCUGUUUUACAGAGUUCUUGUCAGCGGGGAGGGGGCAGAGUUCUUCCUGGUUGGGUGUAUCUGUGCUGCUCACAGGUGCUCCAGCUUGAAGUGGCAGGGCCAGCAUCUCUGCACACAGCCCUCCACCGCAAUCUUCUGCGCACGGCCCACCAAGCUGAGGUGCCAGGUGCAGCAUCUCUGCACACGCCACACCACAGCUGCCAUCUUGAACUGCAGAGUUGUCCGCAGUGUCCCUGCACAGGCUGCAAAGCUGAGGUGUCGGCAUAGCCACGCCGCACUAGGAACUCUUGUCUGAAGUUCCCAGUGCUGUACCUCCAUCCUCGGUACCCUAGGAGCAAGACAAACCAGACUAAACACAAAGGACCAAAAAAGGUCAAGUGUGCUGGCCCAUCUGCAGCUCCCUUGAUGUGUGCUGAGCACUGCAGUGUUUUAACACAUGUGUUCACUAGCUCCUUAUACCCAUCCUGGUUCAUGGAGGUGUGUGAACAUCAGGACCGAGGCCAUCUGACAAUCACAAGGGGACCUGAGAUCAGCUCAGCAACCAGUGACCCCAGGAACUUCUCCCUUCAGGUAACUGGUCUGGUGUCUGGUUUGGAUCUGGUCAGAUGAACCGUGUCUCCUGCCUAGCUGACAACCCACAGGAGGUAAGCCUAUAAAAUGGCACAGGCCAUGGUUGUUCAUGUGAGGAGGACUACCUGGCAAAGAUGGG